GGGACCAAAGCAGGGACGGCAACACCCGUGUGCGGGGCGGGGCUGAGCGGGCGGCCGGUAGCGAGCAGCUGUGAGCCGCUAUGGAGCAAAGGCUCUGACAGUCGUUAACACCUGAGAGCACACAGCCCAAGGAGCAGGAUGCAGAGAUGCAGGGUCCCCCCCAGGGGUGCUCAUUCAUUCAUUCCCUAUCGGCUGCAAAAGAAGGGGUAAACUUCAGUCAUUACAGGACAGGUGGGGGUUUCUCCUUCUCAAGAUCUGGCAACACCAGCCAUCCUCAAAUAUCCAUCUUCAGGAUCACAUUCAUUAAUACGAAACACAACCACAGAAGGAAAGUACACCACACAACUGGCUUCUGUAACACAAGUGUUUUAUUGGACAACAAUACAUCUUAAGCUCAUAUGUAUUUUCAGUGCAACACCUGAAUCACACACAUGAUUAAAUGUGAGGACUCAGCACUUCAUUGUUCUUUCAGCUACAAUUUCAACUGUAUUCUCACUCUAUUUUUCCACUUUUCAAGCUGUAUCAAGUGUAUAAUCCCACCAACUGUAGCCCAAAAUCAAGGAAGUAAAAAAAAUAAGUUGUUCUGUUAUAUUUAGAUAAUUAAAUUAUUUUAAAUAGUAUAAAUUACAAAAAA